rnacentral:rRNA from 1 species
AACGAACGCUGGCGGCGCGCCUAAUACAUGCAAGUCGAGGGAGAACCCGCAAGGGGGACACCGGCGAACGGGGUAGGAAUACGUAGGUAACGUACCCUCAGGACGGGGAUAGCCACGGGAAACUGUGGGUAAUACCCGAUGAUCUGGUCUGGUUUAAUUAUCGGAUCAGCAAAGGUGAGAUUCCACCUGAGGAACGGCUUACGCGAUAUUAGCUUGUUGGCGAGGUAACGGCUCACCAAGGCUGCGAUAUCUAGGGGGUGUGAGAGCAUGGCCCCCACCACUGGGACUGAGAUACUGCCCAGACACCUACGGGUGGCUGCAGUCGAGAAUCUUCGGCAAAUGGGGCGAAAGCCUGACCGAGCGACGCCGCGUGCGGGACGAAGGCCUCGGUGUAGACGCUGUCGGGAGGGAGUGAAGUAGCACGGGGCGUAGUCCCCUCGUGUUUGUACAGAGCGUCCGGAGGAAGGCACGGGC